CCUACGGGCGGCUGCAGUGGGGAAUAUUGGACAAUGGGGGGAACCCUGAUCCAGCCAUGCCGCGUGUGUGAAGAAGGCCCUCGGGUUGUAAAGCACUUUCAGUGAGGAAGAACGCCUGGUGGUUAAUACCCAUCAGGAAAGACAUCACUCACAGAAGAAGCACCGGCUAACUCCGUGCCAGCAGCCGCGGGAAUACGGAGGGUGCGAGCGUUAAUCGGAAUUACUGGGCGUAAAGCGCGCGUAGGUGGCUUGAUAAGCCGGUUGUGAAAGCCCCGGGCGCAACCUGGGAACGGCAUCCGGAACUGUCAAGCUAGAGUGCAGGAGAGGAAGGUAGAAUUCCCGGUGUAGCGGUGAAAUGCGUAGAGAUCGGGAGGAAUACCAGUGGCGAAGGCGGCCUUCUGGACUGACACUGACACUGAGGUGCGAAAGCGUGGGUAGCAAACAGGAUUAGAUACCCCAGUAGUC
rnacentral:rRNA from 1 species